CCCCGUACACAAAAAUGCACAUACUGUGAGCUCGAUGAGUAGGGCGGGACACGUGGUAUCCUGUCUGAAUAUGGGGGGACCAUCCUCCAAGGCUAAAUACUCCUGACUGACCGAUAGUGAACCAGUACCGUGAGGGAAAGGCGAAAAGAACCCCGGCGAGGGGAGUGAAAAAGAACCUGAAACCGUGUACGUACAAGCAGUGGGAGCACAGAGCAAUCUGUGUGACUGCGUACCUUUUGUAUAAUGGGUCAGCGACUUAUAUUCUGUAGCAAGGUUAACCGAAUAGGGGAGCCGAAGGGAAACCGAGUCUUAACUGGGCGUUAAGUUGCAGGGUAUAGACCCGAAACCCGGUGAUCUAGCCAUGGGCAGGUUGAAGGUUGGGUAACACUAACUGGAGGACCGAACCGACUAAUGUUGAAAAAUUAGCGGAUGACUUGUGGCUGGGGGUGAAAGGCCAAUCAAACCGGGAGAUAGCUGGUUCUCCCCGAAAGCUAUUUAGGUAGCGCCUCGUGAAUUCAUCUCCGGGGGUAGAGCACUGUUUCGGCAAGGGGGUCAUCCCGACUUACCAACCCGAUGCAAACUGCGAAUACCGGAGAAUGUUAUCACGGGAGACACACGGCGGGUGCUAACGUCCGUCGUGAAGAGGGAAACAACCCAGACCGCCAGCUAAGGUCCCAAAGUCAUGGUUAAGUGGGAAACGAUGUGGGAAGGCCCAGACAGCCAGGAUGUUGGCUUAGAAGCAGCCAUCAUUUAAAGAAAGCGUAAUAGCUCACUGGUCGAGUCGGCCUGCGCGGAAGAUGUAACGGGGCUAAACCAUGCACCGAAGCUGCGGCAGCGACGCUUAUGCGUUGUUGGGUAGGGGAGCGUUCUGUAAGCCUGCGAAGGUGUGCUGUGAGGCAUGCUGGAGGUAUCAGAAGUGCGAAUGCUGACAUAAGUAACGAUAAAGCGGGUGAAAAGCCCGCUCGCCGGAAGACCAAGGGUUCCUGUCCAACGUUAAUCGGGGCAGGGUGAGUCGACCCCUAAGGCGAGGCCGAAAGGCGUAGUCGAUGGGAAACAGGUUAAUAUUCCUGUACUUGGUGUUACUGCGAAGGGGGGACGGAGAAGGCUAUGUUGGCCGGGCGACGGUUGUCCCGGUUUAAGCGUGUAGGCUGGUUUUCCAGGCAAAUCCGGAAAAUCAAGGCUGAGGCGUGAUGACGAGGCACUACGGUGCUGAAGCAACAAAUGCCCUGCUUCCAGGAAAAGCCUCUAAGCAUCAGGUAACAUCAAAUCGUACCCCAAACCGACACAGGUGGUCAGGUAGAGAAUACCAAGGCGCUUGAGAGAACUCGGGUGAAGGAACUAGGCAAAAUGGUGCCGUAACUUCGGGAGAAGGCACGCUGAUAUGUAGGUGAAGUGCCUUGCUGGUGGAGCUGAAAUCAGUCGAAGAUACCAGCUGGCUGCAACUGUUUAUUAAAAACACAGCACUGUGCAAACACGAAAGUGGACGUAUACGGUGUGACGCCUGCCCGGUGCCGGAAGGUUAAUUGAUGGGGUUAGCGCAAGCGAAGCUCUUGAUCGAAGCCCCGGUAAACGGCGGCCGUAACUAUAACGGUCCUAAGGUAGCGAAAUUCCUUGUCGGGUAAGUUCCGACCUGCACGAAUGGCGUAAUGAUGGCCAGGCUGUCUCCACCCGAGACUCAGUGAAAUUGAACUCGCUGUGAAGAUGCAGUGUACCCGCGGCAAGACGGAAAGACCCCGUGAACCUUUACUAUAGCUUGACACUGAACAUUGAGCCUUGAUGUGUAGGAUAGGUGGGAGGCUUUGAAGUGUGGACGCCAGUCUGCAUGGAGCCGACCUUGAAAUACCACCCUUUAAUGUUUGAUGUUCUAACGUUGACCCGUAAUCCGGGUUGCGGACAGUGUCUGGUGGGUAGUUUGACUGGGGCGGUCUCCUCCUAAAGAGUAACGGAGGAGCACGAAGGUUGGCUAAUCCUGGUCGGACAUCAGGAGGUUAGUGCAAUGGCAUAAGCCAGCUUGACUGCGAGCGUGACGGCGCGAGCAGGUGCGAAAGCAGGUCAUAGUGAUCCGGUGGUUCUGAAUGGAAGGGCCAUCGCUCAACGGAUAAAAGGUACUCCGGGGAUAACAGGCUGAUACCGCCCAAGAGUUCAUAUCGACGGCGGUGUUUGGCACCUCGAUGUCGGCUCAUCACAUCCUGGGGCUGAAGUAGGUCCCAAGGGUAUGGCUGUUCGCCAUUUAAAGUGGUACGCGAGCUGGGUUUAGAACGUCGUGAGACAGUUCGGUCCCUAUCUGCCGUGGGCGCUGGAGAACUGAGGGGGGCUGCUCCUAGUACGAGAGGACCGGAGUGGACGCAUCACUGGUGUUCGGGUUGUCAUGCCAAUGGCACUGCCCGGUAGCUAAAUGCGGAAGAGAUAAGUGCUGAAAGCAUCUAAGCACGAAACUUGCCCCGAGAUGAGUUCUCCCUGACUCCUUGAGAGUCCUGAAGGAACGUUGAAGACGACGACGUUGAUAGGCCGGAUGUGUAAGCGCAGCGAUGCGUUGAGCUAACCGGUACUAAUGAACCGUGAGGCUUAACCUU
rnacentral:rRNA from 1 species